GAUGAAGAACGUAGCGAAAUGCGAUACUUGGUGUGAAUUGCAGAAUCCCGUGAACCAUCGAGUCUUUGAACGCAAGUUGCGCCCGAAGCCAUUAGGCCGAGGGCACGCCUGCCUGGGUGUCACACGUCGUUGCCCCCCCAUCUACUCCUUCGGGAUUGCGGGGGGCGGAUGAUGGCCUCCCGUGCGCCUCGUCGCGCGGUUGGCAUAAAUGCCAAGUCCUCGGCGACGCACGCCACGACAAUCGGUGGUUGCGAACCCUCGGUUGCCCGUCGUGUGCGGUCGUCGCGCAUCGAGGGCUCGAAAAAAUUGCCGGGCUCCGGCUCGGCUUUCAACGCGACCCCAGGUCAGGCGGGGUUACCCGCUGAAUUUAAGCAUAUCAAUAAGCGGAGGA
rnacentral:misc_RNA from 1 species